CUCACCACGGCCGUCCGUUCCUCGGCACGAUCAUUUCGUUCGCUACUCCGCGGGCUUCCUGGUCGACGCUAUCUUCACGCUUUUGCAGAAAAAAGAAGAUUUUGCGCGCGGAUCAUUUUCUGUCGCAGGUGCCGCGAUAAGACUUCGAGUCACGUUUCCCGAGGACAAAAAUUAUCGAGAGCAAUCCUAAGGUGUCGGCCAAGAAGGGACUCUCCGUGGACCCGACGCGCCGUUGCGGUAUCGUUCUCGCGCCGGUGACACCGUUAUUCCGUCCUUGAAAAGAUACCAGCUGCGUGAAGAACACUUCGAGUCGCGCGACGAAGUCGCAGUACGUUCACGUUCGUCAGGUUGCUUCCUGUCCGCGCGUAUCGACGUGGAAGAUUCCAACCGGCUUGUAGGAGAUGUUCGGCCGUGCAUAGUCUGGCAAGGGAAAUUCAUUGGUUCCAAAGAAGAUUUCGAAAAACACACGUCAUCGAGAAAGAGAGAAAAAAAAACGAUUGGGCGAAUGAAUAAAACAGGAUUUCAAAGAUGCUGAAUAGAAA